UACGUAGGGCGCAAGCGUUGUCCGGAAUUAUUGGGCGUAAAAGAGCUCGUAGGCGGUCUGUCGCGUCGGCUGUGAAAACCCGAGGCUCAACCUCGGGCCUGCAGUCGAUACGGGCAGACUGGAGUACUGCAGGGGAGACUGGAAUUCCUGGUGUAGCGGUGGAAUGCGCAGAUAUCAGGAGGAACACCGGUGGCGAAGGCGGGUCUCUGGGCCAUUACUGACGCUGAGGAGCGAAAGCGUGGGGAGCGAACAGG
rnacentral:rRNA from 1 species